GAGAGAGAGAAUUAAUUAUUUGCUAUCAAAAUCAAAUGUCAUGGUGGCAAGGUAGGUAUAUAUAAGAUAUAUAUGAGAUAAAAAGGCUUCAUCUAAUCAGAAAAUUAAUUAAAUAAAGUAUGUAUGAGCUCAGUUCUAACAUAUUCUGAUUAGUUAAUAACAUGUGAUUUAGAUUAAUAUUAAUAUUAAAAGGGUUUUUUAAGUGGGAUUAUGGGAUGCAACCUGUAUGGACAGAAGUAAAGGUGGAAUUAGGUAGAGCUAUAGCUAGCAAACAUAUGUCAUGGAUUAUUCUAAAUUGAAUACCUAAACAAAGAAGUGGGGGGCUAAGUACAAAUCUAUGUUGGUGAAGUAAAAUAGUAUAAGAUAAUGAAUUGGUAAUAAAAUAUGUGUGAAGGGCAUGAAAAAGGAAAAAGCUAGGAAAGAUAAAGAUUAAAAGAAGGAAGUGAUGGAGCAAAAAGGAAAGAAAAAAAGAAAAAAAAAAAGAAAAAGAUGCAUCGAUAAAUUAUGGUAUUUUCUCCUUUUUCUCUUUUUGGUCACUUUAAUUAUUAUUAUUUUUAUUUAAAGGGAAGAGAAAGUAGAGGAGGGGGAUGAGGGAAUCCAAGUGUUCCAAGCACUCCCAGACAAAGUGAGGUUCAGAGAAGAGAAAAGCAACCUCUGCUUUACGACCCAGAAAAGGAGAUUUCAAACACCAUAAGGCCUUGGAGCUUAGGAAAUUGCGUGGUUAUUAACCCAACCCAACUCACUCAACCCACAAACAAACCAAAUUUUCUCUCUCUCUCUCUCUCUCCCCCUCUUUGUGAUCUCUUUCUCUCUCUUCGCUGGCUUGGUGCCUAUAUUUAGAGGCAGUAGCUGGGGGUGCAAAUCCAACCCCACAUUCUCCUUCAUUCACUCUGAAAAUCACAACACAAAAAUAACCCCGCAAAAAAAAAAAGAAAAAAAAAAUUUAGGCUCUAUCUCUUGAAACCCUUAAGUUUAGGUCACUGGUCUGCUUUUUUUGUGCCAAUUCAAAUGGGUCUGAGCUGUGGGGCUUUGAAGCUCCAUUUUGAUUAUGACCCAGCUCCCAUCAUUAUCCCGUUUAUCACUCUACCCUUCUGUGUGUGUCUCUCUCUCCCUCCCUCUCUGUCUCUCUCCCUCUUCAAUAUAAAACCCCCUCUCUCUCUCUUUACCACUCUUUAUACCCCUCUUCCACUUUCCCUUGUCUUGCCCACUAUAGCCAUGCCAAAGCUUCUCCAGGAUACCUACUAGCUAGCUCUACAAAAUCUCGUUUGCUUCAAAUCCAUGCAUUCUUAGUUCACUCUCUCACAAACCCAUGUCAUAUCAACAAAAACCAUUCAUUCUCACAUCACAGAUAUAUAUAUAUAUAUAUAUGUGUGUGUGUGUGUGUGUGUGUGUAUAUAUGUAUAUGUAUAUAUAUCCACAAACACACACCUAACUAAAUUCAGGAAAGGUGGGAUGUUGGGUUGGCGUGAGAUGAGGUCUUAGGCUUGGAUAUAUUGUCCAAACCUAGCUAUCUUCAGGGGUAUUAUGGUCAUGUUGGGCAGCAUUGUAAUUUCCCAAGUUUGCAGGAUAGCUAAUGCGUCUGAGAAAAAGGUACUUCCAUCUUCUUCCUUGUUUCUUCUUCUUCUUCUUCACAUGGAUGUUAGGGCUCUUCGUUCUCUCUCUCUAUGAAAGUGUGAAUAUCUGUGAUGACAUGCUUUACUUUUGCAGAGAAUAAUUAUGGCUUCUGAAAUAUAAAUUUGGCAUUUUACUCCUUGUCACAUGUAUUUUCCAUCAUUUCACCAUACACAUGUAACGAGGGCUUAUGGCUUCGGCCCAAAUUCCGGUAAAAAUUAGAAGCAGCUGGUUAAGAACCUCGCUUGGUCCCUGACAACAUGGAAGUUACAACUUUCCUUACAUGUUGCCCAUCAUGACAUGACAUCCUUCCAUCCAUCCAUGACAUCCAUCCAUCCAUCCAUCCAUCCAUGUCCAUCCAUCAUGUUCCACGCUUAUCUCAUGGACACUUCUAAUGACCUCUGGUCCUAACCUUGUUGACUCACCCCAAAAAGGAGCUAAUUGUUUUUCUUUUAAUCUGUUUUGUUUUUAUCUUCAAGUUUUGUUCAUCUGAUUGCUCAGUUUUAAACCUUCUUCUUCCAAAUUAACAUGGUGAUUCUCCCACUUGCGUACAAUGGACAAAACCCAUUCAUUUUAGGCCGUUGGUUUAUAAAUCAAAACCAAAAGGUUUUUUGUUUUUUAUUGUUUUUUUUAGGGUGUAGAUAUAUAAUAAAAAAAUGAGUUGUGUUGGACCUGUUGGAGAUUAGAUUAGCUAGAUUACAUUACCAAAUAAAAGAAUGAAGCUAGAUCUUUGAUUUGAUUUGAGGGACAUGUUCAAUCAAGGGCUUCAGAUAAAAAAGGAAGUGAGAAGGCAAAGAAACCAAAAAAAUAAAAUAGAAAAAAAGAAAAGAAGGUUUGCCUUAUCAUCAGUAAAUAAAUAGAUAAGAUUUUGAUUUUCCUAGUUCCUAGACAAUUUGAUCAUAUUAUUCCUUGUCCUGCAUGCGUACAGCUUGCAGAUGCUAUACAACGAACGUUUAGAGAAUAUGCAUUUAGCCUCAUCUGCCUUGCUUGCUGCUAUGUAUCUUAUAGCACAUAUCAUAUCAUUUUGCCCAUUUCCCCAUUCGCCCUCUCUCUCUCUCUCUCUCUCUCUCUCUCUCUCUCUCUCUCAUAAAAUUGCCUUGGACUUUAGUCUCGGAGUAUAUGGCCGGACCGUAGCCCCACUAAGAUUGUAGGGAGCAAACGACCUGGCCAAGUUUGUAGAGCCGCUAGCUUAUGAUUUGCUCAACUCUACAAUCUUAGUCGGAUCGAAAUGUAGCCCGGCCCAAGUUCUUGUAACGCGGCCCAAGUCGUCGGAGACUAAACUUGUGUGGCUUGGUUAGUUGGUAUCUUCAUCUCUAUAUAAAGUAUGAACAGAUAGGUAGCUAGAGAAUCAGAGAUCUAGAGUGAUACUGAACCGUACGACUGGGCAGGGCUUCAAAAAAAGAAAAGCAAAAGUGUUUAGGGCAGCAGGAGGAGGAUGAUCAUCAUAAUGGCUAUUAGGAAUCUCAUACACUACAAGCAGAGACUGGACCACAUCUCUUCUAUGUCUCUCUGUCUCUCUGUCUCUCUAUCUCAUUUAAUAAUUUUUUCUCUCUCUCUUUUCAUCAAUUGGCCAGCAGGGAAUAUAGUAUACGGUCAAAGCAGGUCAAGAAAGGACAUUUCGUCUGGCAAAGAAAAUGGACCACCUUUGAGAUCUCCUGGGAAAUAGAAAUCAAUUACUUACUGCUGGGUGGGAUUUUUAAAAUUUCAAGUUCACUCUCUCCAUGCCCCAUGUGCCCUCCUCAAUUUUCACACACCCAACAUUCUCCUGCGAUUGGCCAGCCCAGGGGCGUAGGGCUUAGUUUAAUUUGUUCUAAAUAAAUAAAUCAAUGAAUCUUCAUAUGCUUCAAGUUUUUUGCUUGAGGACAUAGAUAUAGUCAGAUGUGCAUGAAUAUGUACCAGCUAGUGUAAGUGAGGUCCCACCUAAGCUACCUUCUGGGUUAUAUGUGUAUGUAUAGAUUGUACACUCCAAGUGUCUCAGGAAUAGAUUCUUUCCCAAUAUAUCUGAUUGAAUUUCAAA